UACGAAGGGGGCUAGCGUUGCUCGGAAUUACUGGGCGUAAAGCGCACGUAGGCGGAUCGUUAAGUCGGGGGUGAAAUCCUGGAGCUCAACUCCAGAACUGCCUUCGAUACUGGCGAUCUCGAGUCCGGAAGAGGUGAGUGGAACUCCUAAUGUAGAGGUGGAAAUUCGUAGAUAUUAGGAAGAACACCAGUGGCGAAGGCGACUCACUGGUCCGGUACUGACGCUGAGGUGCGAAAAGC
rnacentral:rRNA from 1 species